CUGAGGGUUGUAAAGCACUUUCAAUUAGGAAGAAAAAAUAAUGGUUAAUAUCUAUUAUUUUUGACGUUACUUUUAGAAGAAGCACCGGCUAACUCCGUGCCAGCAGCCGCGGUAAUACGGAGGGUGCAAGCGUUAAUCGGAAUUACUGGGCGUAAAGCGUGCGUAGGUGGUUUAUUAAGUCAGAUGUGAAAGCCCUGGGCUUAACCUAGGAACUGCAUUUGAAACUGGAAAACUAGAGUAUAGGAGAGGAAAGUGGAAUUUCUGGUGUAGCGGUGAAAUGCGUAGAUAUCAGAAGGAACAUCAAUGGCGAAGGCAGCUUUCUGGACUAAUACUGACACUGAGGUACGAAAGCGUGGGUAGCAAACAGGAUUAGAUACCCUGGUAGUCCAUGCCGUAAACGAUGAUAACUAGCCGUUGGGGGGGGUACCCUUUAGUGGCGAAGCUAACGCGUUAAGUUAUCCGCCUGGGGAGUACGGCCGCAAGGUUAAAACUCAAAGGAAUUGACGGGGACCCGCACAAGCGGUGGAGCAUGUGGUUUAAUUCGAUGCAACGCGAAGAACCUUACCUGGUCUUGACAUAUCGCAAACUUUCUAGAGAUAGAUUGGUGCCUUCGGGAAUGCGAAUACAGGU
rnacentral:rRNA from 1 species